GGAUAGAGGUCGCGGUUGCCAAGAGUACCCGCUCGGUUUCCCCAGCGGCAUGGGGAGCGGGAAAAGGGGCUGCCGCCGAGGGGGCCUUCCGCCGCCGAACAUGCGGAGGCUGCCCGGGCCGCGGGAGAAUAUCCCGCGGACUGUCACUUCGGUGGAGGGCUAUU
rnacentral:ncRNA from 1 species